rnacentral:lncRNA from 1 species
CUGCCUAAUGAUAUAGGGACUUUACUAACUAAUACUCCACUAGUUUAUAACAUAACAUAGCCGGCUAACGUCUAUUGCUAACUCUGGUGUGUACUCCACUAGUUUUUAACAUCAAAUAGACAGUUAACAUCUAUUGCUAACUCUGGUGUGUGGUCACUACCUGUAGUAUUUAACAAAAAAAACUACCACAAUUCAUGGAACCGUGCCUACAAACUACCACUUUAGGAUUUUGUCCCGAAAACUACCACUUUAGGAUUUUGUCCCGAAAACUACCACUUUUUUGUUAAUCUAUGACUGAAAACUACCAAGUCUUUAAAGCGCCCGAUUUGGCUCAUUUAAACUUGACUAUGAAAGGGUUGGCCCACAUGUCAGGACGGAAAAAUUCAGCAGCGUUAAGAUUGACCAUCAACUGGAGAAAGAGAUUGAGAUGGCGGCGCUUCGGCGCGAGAAGGGCAGCGGGGAGGUCCGGGUGAGGCGGAUCCGGGGCGGCGCUUGCCGGAUCUAGCGAUGGCGAGGCUGCAUGACGACGGGAGGCCUGCAGGCGGCAAGGCGCAGGGCGGCGUCCACUCGAGGCGUGGCCAUGGAGACGGCCGGCGGGGAUGCGCCAGGGAGCGCGAGGCGGCGGGAUCCGGUCAUGGUGGGGUGGGCGACCAUUGGGGGUGCUCCGAUGGCUGCUGCGGUGGCGAGCCCAACCGGGGGUGUGGCUGCGGGCGAGGGGAGGCGAGCGGGGGCGCAGGCGCAGCAGGAGCUUGGGUCCCUGGGCAGCUGGGGGCGGCAGCGGACGCGGUCGGGCCAUGCGGGCCCUACAUGUCAUAACAUAUGUGUGGGCCAACCCGGUCAUAAUCGAGUUUAAACGAGAAGAAUCAGACAUUUUACAAACUUGGUAGUUUUUAGUCACAGGUUAGCAAAAAAGUGGUAGUUUUUGAGACAAAAUCGUAAAAUGGUAGUUUGUAGGCACGGUUCCAUGAAUUGUGAUAGUUUUUUGUUAAAUACUCCACUACCUGCAUGUUUCAACAAAUAAUUUGCUUUUAUGAGAUUAUUAUUUUCUGAAAGCUUUAUUAUUUUGUUCGCUUAUGUGAAAUCAGGAGGUUGUGAGGCC